rnacentral:ncRNA from 2 species
CAAAACAAAAGAGGUCGCGGUUAACAUUAGUAAAUAAGGGAGUCACUGCAUGGCGUUGAACUUAUUGAAAGGGGAAAUCGCCGAAGCGUCGGAAUUGUAGGAUCCGAUGUGCUGGGACGUAUCAAUAAUAUGAUAUGGACUGUCGCAACAAAAAGUCGUUGCGGUGCGCUUAUGACAAU